rnacentral:lncRNA from 1 species
AUGGAGUUAUCACCAGAAGAAAAAAUGGGUUGGAUAGUAAGUGACCAGACUGACACUCAAUGCCCAACACAGCACUUGGCACAUCUAGGAGCUCAGAAGUUUUUAUUCAAUUUAUUGUUGAAGGAGGACGUGCUGCCUGGUGCAGACCUGCCCUUGAAGCAGGGCCCUGCCUCAGGCACCCGGUGGUUUGGUGCUGGUGAUACCUGCUUCCUAGCGUCCAGGUGGAGCCAAAACAUGAUGAGGAUGUAAAGUACUUAUUAUAUACUCGAUGAAUAACCACUAUUUGAAGCGCUUUACUUCCCCCACACAGUGAUGCGUUAUUGGGGCCUCAUGUUCUCACAUGACAGGAGAAAACCAAAAUUUGUUGUCAUAUCUGAAGGAAUUGGAAAUUGUCUAAAGAAACCUUACACAAAUGAAAAGGAUGAAUAAAUUUAAAGUUGUAAAUGCAAACUGUUUUCCAGCUCAAGGCAAUUAACAACUCACAGUGUCCUGGCAGGAAAACAUCUAGUAAGAAAGGACAGUGGGUCCCAAGGCUUGGACCUUCCCAAUCCAAUCAGAUUGGCAGGACAGAAGUGACAAGUGGUUCAAGGUUCUUGCUAGUCUCUGGAGAAAUUCUGGAAUAGGCAGCUCUGACACAUGAACAGCCUGCAUGGAUCAAGAACCUCAUGGCCUUGCAGAUUCUCAAACCAAUGGAUUUCUCUUCCAUACACGUGUUCUACACUUCAGCCAUGAAUUGACUGAGUUGCCUAUACUAAGAGUUUAAAUCAAAGGUACAAAAAAAAAAUGUUUUUUAAAUAAAUCAAAGGCAUGUGCAGGGUGUUGAACCAAGGGGACAGUCAACUUGGAUACAAGGUCAAGAUCGGCAGCAAGUUCUAUGAUCCAGAGCUCCUAUCAGAUAAAAACUUCAAGGGCACAUUUCUUUUCAAAGGCGUAUUCCGGUUAUAAGGCCUCUUUUUGAUUCAUGAUGCUAGGAUUCUGCUUCCCCCUACCCACUCACUCCCACCCUGGGAUCCAGCAUAGGGCUAAAGACACAAUAGGACUCAAUGUCUAUUAAAUUAGUUCAGGAUAAGACAUGGUUAUUACCUAAAGGAGCUCAAAACCUAAUUGAGGAGAUGAUGUACAUGUAUGAAGCCUCUAGAAAUCAUACAAGUCAGUGUGUGGAAGGGGUAAACUGUAAGAUAAAUGAGGAGAGCCACUGGCAGGUCCCAUGCACUCCAUGCUGCGGGCAGGCACCCUUCCUAGCAAUUCGAUUUUAAACACCAGAGCCAGGGAAAGAGGCCAGAAAAGGAAGGGCCGCGACCAGACACCAGACAGACCAGUGCAUGGGACACAUGAUUGGAGCAACAG